UAGGGAAUCUUCCACAAUGGACGCAAGUCUGAUGGAGCAACGCCGCGUGAGUGAAGAAGGUCUUCGGAUCGUAAAGCUCUGUUGUUGGUGAAGAAGGAUAGAGGCAGUAACUGGUCUUUAUUUGACGGUAAUCAACCAGAAAGUCACGGCUAACUACGUGCCAGCAGCCGCGGUAAUACGUAGGUGGCAAGCGUUGUCCGGAUUUAUUGGGCGUAAAGCGAGCGCAGGCGGAAUGAUAAGUCUGAUGUGAAAGCCCACGGCUCAACCGUGGAACUGCAUCGGAAACUGUCAUUCUUGAGUGCAGAAGAGGAGAGUGGAACUCCAUGUGUAGCGGUGGAAUGCGUAGAUAUAUGGAAGAACACCAGUGGCGAAGGCGGCUCUCUGGUCUGCAACUGACGCUGAGGCUCGAAAGCAUGGGUAGCGAACAGGAUUAGAUACCCUGGUAGUCCAUGCCGUAAACGAUGAGCGCUAGGUGUUGGGGACUUUCCGGUUCUCAGUGCCGCAGCAAACGCAUUAAGCGCUCCGCCUGGGGAGUACGACCGCAAGGCUGAAACUCUAAAGUGAAUUGAC
rnacentral:rRNA from 1 species